rnacentral:tRNA from 1 species
ACCGCGAUAGCUUAGUUGGUAGAGCAACUGCCUGGUAAGCGGAAGGUCGCCGGUUCGAUUCCGGCUCACGGUU